UACGAAGGGGGCUAGCGUUGUUCGGAAUUACUGGGCGUAAAGAGCGCGCAGGCGGUCGUUCAAGUCGCGUGUGAAAGCCCCCCGGCUCAACUGGGGAGGGUCACGCGAUACUGAUCGACUGGAAGGCAGGAGAGGGUAGUGGAAUUCCCGGUGUAGUGGUGAAAUGCGUAGAUAUCGGGAGGAACACCAGUGGCGAAGGCGACUACCUGGCCUGUUCUUGACGCUGAGGCGCGAAAGCUAGGGGAGCAAACGGGG
rnacentral:rRNA from 1 species